UUCUUGCUGCUUGGUGCUCGC
rnacentral:miRNA from 1 species